ACGCUGGCGGCGUGCCUAAUACAUGCAAGUCGAGCGGACAGAUGGGAGCUUGCUCCCUGAUGUUAGCGGCGGACGGGUGAGUAACACGUGGGUAACCUGCCUGUAAGACUGGGAUAACUCCGGGAAACCGGGGCUAAUACCGGAUGCUUGUUUGAACCGCAUGGUUCAAACAUAAAAGGUGGCUUCGGCUACCACUUACAGAUGGACCCGCGGCGCAUUAGCUAGUUGGUGAGGUAAUGGCUCACCAAGGCAACGAUGCGUAGCCGACCUGAGAGGGUGAUCGGCCACACUGGGACUGAGACACGGCCCAAACUCCUACGGGAGGCAGCAGUAGGGAAUCUUCCGCAAUGGACGAAAGUCUGACGGAGCAACGCCGCGUGAGUGAUGAAGGUUUUCGGAUCGUAAAGCUCUGUUGUUAGGGAAGAACAAGUGCCGUUCAAAUAGGGCGGCACCUUGACGGUACCUAACCAGAAAGCCACGGCUAACUACGUGCCAGCAGCCGCGGUAAUACGUAGGUGGCAAGCGUUGUCCGGAAUUAUUGGGCGUAAAGGGCUCGCAGGC
rnacentral:rRNA from 1 species